ACACUAAAAACGUUGCUACCACUUGUGUUUUUUAUGCAUCUCAUGCCCCUUCUAGUGCACUUGCACAGGGUGUGUCUGGGKGUGCGUCGCUACUGCUUCAUCUUUUCCAAGUACUGAUCACUUUUCCUGAGUGUGGUGAUACUAGUGUCUUAUCUAUCCUUCUCCAAAUAUUUUUUUAAAUUUACUUGUAUCCUGAGUACCUUGAAGCAAUGCAACUGGUCAGUCUGAUUGGUUUUUAUUUGUGGUAUUAAAUCAUAGUACUGGAAAAACUGAGGUCUAUCCCGAUGGGAUCUCUUCCAUAGGUUCGUGUCGUUGGAAACGCCUCACAGAAUAAACUUGUGGUUCCGCUUUGCCCAUUGAGCUGCUCGUUGGCUCUGUGGGAUAAGAACUGCAAGACAAGYCUUAAUUUACACCCUAGGGCUGGAAAUAAAGCCUGUGUUCUUGUUUAGGUACUGACURCUUUUGCUGUGAGAAAUAGAUGCAAAUGGAAAAGCUUGGUACUUCAGGACACUGCAGCAGCCGAGCUCUGCCUGGGUGGGAGGAUUGCCUGGAGGAGGAGGGGGAUCACUUCUUAGGCAGGGUCUGCUGUUGAGUCACUGGCCAUGUCAGAAGGGCAGGAAGCAACACAUCAGUGCAGCCAGAGUGAGCCUGAAGGUCCUGCUGCAAUGCUGAGGAAGAACAAGAGAGCUCUUCUAAAUCAGUUACAGAAAGGACAUGUUUUUAUAUUUAUGACAUCUUAUUGCAGUAAUUAAAAAAAGUCAUUACAGAUUUUUUACUGCAGUGGAUUUGGGAUUUGAAGCAGUGGAUUUGGGAAUGAGGAUGAAAGCACCCAGGCCAGGCAGAACAUUAUAAGUUCAGUCCAUCUUGUCCUCCUGGAUUCUUGCCUUCUGGGACUGCUUAAAAGUAGUUGCCUGGCUUGGUGUUGCAGAAGAGCUAAAACUAAAGGGCASUGUGAGGUUUGACCACAUGCGGGUUAUUUAUCAACAGUUUCUACUGCUUCCUUCUCUAAUUAGAAUUAUGGAAUCCCUAAGGUUGGAAGGGGCCUCCAGAGUCACCUGGAGCAYGUGGCACAGGGCUGCAUCCAAGCAGCUUUGGAAGAUCUCUGAAGAAGGAGACUCCACAACGUCCCUGGGCAGCACUUUUGACUGCAGCAGCUGAGUCUUGAAUUUUCCUACUCCACCCUAAUCAUCUUGCAGUUAAAGUUACUUGGGGCUAAGGAAACAUGACCAGAGGAACUGGCACUUGGAAGUACAUCAGCUCUAAAGCAGCAACUGUGGAAGGGCAAAACAUUAACAGUGCUCAAGGAGKGGAACCUUUUUUCCAGAAACCAGUUCCCUUAACCCUCAGCUGCUUUGGAAGCAUCGUUCAGCUGUAGCAACAUCAUUAAUUAGCACUUGCUAAAUACCAUUUGCACUACUCUAUUUCGUAGGCAACCA